rnacentral:rRNA from 1 species
UACGGAGGGAGCUAGCGUUGUUCGGAAUUACUGGGCGUAAAGCGCACGUAGGCGGCUUUGUAAGUUAGAGGUGAAAGCCCGGGGCUCAACUCCGGAACUGCCUUUAAGACUGCAUCGCUUGAAUCCGGGAGAGGGAUGUGGAAUUCCAGGUGUAGCGGUGAAAUGCGUAGAUAUCUGGAGGAACACCGGUGGCGAAGGCGGCAUCCUGGACCGGUAUUGACGCUGAGGCGCGAAAGCUAGGGGAGCAAACGGG